rnacentral:rRNA from 1 species
GCACAAGCGGUGGAUUAUGUUGUUUAAUUCGACGCAACGCGAAGAACCUUACCAGGCCUUGACAUACUCGGCAAAGCUCUAGAGAUAGAGUGGAGGUUAUCCGGGAUACAGGUGGUGCAUGGUUGUCGUCAGCUCGUGUCGUGAGAUGUUGGGUUAAGUCCCGCAACGAGCGCAACCCUUGUCUUUAGUUACCAUCAUUCAGUUGGGGACUCUAGAGAGACUGCCGGUGAUAAACCGGAGGAAGGUGGGGAUGACGUCAAAUCAUCAUGCCCCUUACUGGCCUGGGCUACAAACGUAAUACAAUGGCGUAUACAAAGGGAGUGCGAAAGGGCGACCUGGAGCAAGACUCACAAAGUACGUCUCAGUUCAGAUUGGAGUCUGCAACUCGACUCCAUGAAGGCGGAAUCGCUAGUAAUCGCGGAUCAGCAUGCCGCGGUGAAUACGUUCUCGGGGUUU